rnacentral:rRNA from 1 species
AACCGAAUAGGGGAGCCGAAGGGAAACCGAGUCUUAACUGGGCGUUAAGUUGCAGGGUAUAGACCCGAAACCCGGUGAUCUAGCCAUGGGCAGGUUGAAGGUUGGGUAACACUAACUGGAGGACCGAACCGACUAAUGUUGAAAAAUUAGCGGAUGACUUGUGGCUGGGGGUGAAAGGCCAAUCAAACCGGGAGAUAGCUGGUUCUCCCCGAAAGCUAUUUAGGUAGCGCCUCGUGAAUUCAUCUCCGGGGGUAGAGCACUGUUUCGGCAAGGGGGUCAUCCCGACUUACCAACCCGAUGCAAACUGCGAAUACCGGAGAAUGUUAUCACGGGAGACACACGGCGGGUGCUAACGUCCGUCGUGAAGAGGGAAACAACCCAGACCGCCAGCUAAGGUCCCAAAGUCAUGGUUAAGUGGGAAACGAUGUGGGAAGGCCCAGACAGCCAGGAUGUUGGCUUAGAAGCAGCCAUCAUUUAAAGAAAGCGUAAUAGCUCACUGGUCGAGUCGGCCUGCGCGGAAGAUGUAACGGGGCUAAACCAUGCAC